CCAUGUCAGGGUCAAAAGGUACAAAUCCGAUUGUGCUUGCACAAAGAGGAUUUGGAACUUGGGACCCGCAAAACACGAGCACGUAGCGCUGUUGCGCGGAGUGCGAGUGUUUUAGAAUCGCGAGAGCUGCGAAGCAGCGAAGCGAUUCGUGACAUUG
rnacentral:sRNA from 1 species